GAUGAACGCUGGCGGCGUGCCUCAAACAUGCAAGUCGAGCGGGGCUAUGUAAUAUCGCAAGGUAGAACAUAGCCUAGCGGCGAACGGGUGAGUAACACGUGGGUAACCUGCCUGGAAGACAGGGAUAACGAUUCGAAAGGGUCGCUAAUACCUGAUAAUAUCCUUUCAUCGCAUGGUGAUAGGAAGAAAGGGGAAACCCGCUUUCAGAUGGGCCCGCGUCCCAUCAGCUAGUUGGUAAGGUAAAGGCUUACCAAGGCGACGACGGGUAGCCGGUCUGAGAGGAUGUACGGCCACACUGGGACUGAGAUACGGCCCAGACUCCUACGGGAGGCAGCAGUUGGGAAUCUUAGGCAAUGGACGAAAGUCUGACCUAGCGACGCCGCGUGAGGGAAGAAGGCCUUCGGGUUGUAAACCUCUGUCAUGGGGGAAGAAGGAAGUGACGGUACCCCAAGAGGAAGCCCCUGCUAACUACGUGCCAGCCAGCCGCGGUAAUACCACUGUACAGU
rnacentral:rRNA from 1 species